rnacentral:rRNA from 1 species
GCGUGGAUGAUGUGGUUUAAUUCGAUGCAACGCGAAAACCUUACCCACCUUUGACAUGUACGGAACCCUUUAGAGAUAGAGGGGUGCUCGAAAGAGAGCCGUAACACAGGUGCUGCAUGGCUGUCGUCAGCUCGUGUCGUGAGAUGUUGGGUUAAGUCCCGCAACGAGCGCAACCCUUGUCAUUAGUUGCUACAUUCAGUUGGGCACUCUAAUGAGACUGCCGGUGACAAGCCGGAGGAAGGUGGGGAUGACGUCAAGUCCUCAUGGCCCUUAUAGGUGGGGCUACACACGUCAUACAAUGGCUGGUACAAAGGGUUGCCAACCCGCGAGGGGGAGCCAAUCCCAUAAAGCCAGUCGUAGUCCGGAUCGUAGUCUGCAACUCGACUACGUGAAGUCGGAAUCGCUAGUAAUCGUGGAUCAGAAUGUCACGGUGAAUACGUUCCCGGGUCUU